UACAUUCGUCUCUUUCUUGAAGCAUAAGUACUCCCUUCCUAAAAUCACUUGUUUGCUUAUUGCAGGGGUGGUAUUGUAGGGAAAAGUAGUCUGUGGGUGCUGUUUUGAGGAGUGGGUCUUGCAGGCAUUGACUUGCCUUCUUGGGUGAAUGAAAGGCUUGGCUGCCACGUUGCUGUCCGAGACUUGGGGUUGCUGCCUUGGGCUCGAUGGGCUGUUCGGAACGGGCCGUGAUUUGGGCUUGGGAGAAAGAGGCCCAAAGUCCAAGCAUAAUAAGACUUUAGUUUCUUAAACUCUUUUGGCACAUUCAUGGGUAUUUUGUAAUAGUAUAAUAUCACAUAUUCUUUUCUUUCCAUUCAAAAUUCAUACGUAAGAUGAUCAUGUAAGUUAAUGUAUUAUUCGAGAUGUAAGCGAACACUUUAGUUCGGAAGGGACGUCUUCACAUUCUUUUUCAAA